GGGAAUUUAGAGUUUUAGUGAAUGCAUGAGCCCUAAUUCGAGUAAUCUAAGCUUGUUCAACCCUUGGCGUUAAAGAAGAAAGUUCGAGUCAAGUGAAGCAACAAGGGGAUCUAGACCGAGGUAAAUCUCAUGUCUAGUUAUCAAGCUUGCCCGGAUCGAACACACCUCAAGCCCGUCAAG